rnacentral:rRNA from 1 species
CCUACGGGAGGCAGCAGUGGGGAAUWUUGCACCAAUGGGGGAAACCCUGAUGCAGCCAUSCCGCGUGUGUGAAGAAGGCCUUCGGGUUGUAAAGCACUUUCAGUUGUGAGGAAAAGUUAGUAGUUAAUACCUGCUACCCGUGACGUUAACAACAGAAGAAGCACCGGCUAACUCCGUGCCAGCAGCCGCGGUAAUACGGAGGGUGCGAGCGUUAAUCGGAAUUACUGGGCGUAAAGCGCACGCAGGCGGUUUGUUAAGCUAGAUGUGAAAGCCCCGGGCUCAACCUGGGAUAGUCAUUUAAAACUGGCAGACUAGAGUCUUGGAGAGGGGAGUGGAAUUCCAGGUGUAGCGGUGAAAUGCGUAGAUAUCUGGAGGAACAUCAGUGGCGAAGGCGACUCCCUGGCCAAAGACUGACGCUCAUGUGCGAAAGUGUGGGUAGCGAACAGGAUUAGAUACCCUGGUAGUCCACACCGUAAACGCUGUCUACUAGCUGUGUGUGCCUUUAAGGCUGUGCGUACCGAAGCUAACGCGAUAAGUAGACCGCCUGGGGAGUACGGCCGCAAGGUUAAAACUCAAAUGAAUUGACGG